rnacentral:rRNA from 1 species
CCAUAUUGGGUGAUAGCCCCGUACACGAAAAUCUCUUAUCAAUGAAAUCGAGUAGGACGGAGCACGAGAAACUUUGUCUGAAUAUGGGGGGACCAUCCUCCAAGGCUAAAUACUACUGACUGACCGAUAGUGAACUAGUACCGUGAGGGAAAGGCGAAAAGAACCCCGGGAGGGGAGUGAAAUAGAUCCUGAAACCGUAUGCGUACAAGCAGUGGGAGCAGACUUUGUUCUGUGACUGCGUACCUUUUGUAUAAUGGGUCAGCGACUUAUUUUCAGUGGCGAGCUUAACCGAAUAGGGGAGGCGUAGCGAAAGCGAGUCUUAAUAGGGCGUCUAGUCGCUGGGAAUAGACCCGAAACCGGGCGAUCUAUCCAUGGGCAGGUUGAAGGUUAGGUAACACUGACUGGAGGACCGAACCGACUACCGUUGAAAAGUUAGCGGAUGACCUGUGGAUCGGAGUGAAAGGCUAAUCAAGCUCGGAGAUAGCUGGUUCUCCUCGAAAGCUAUUUAGGUAGCGCCUCAUGUAUCACUGUAGGGGGUAGAGCACUGUUUCGGCUAGGGGGUCAUCCCGACUUACCAAACCGAUGCAAACUCCGAAUACCUACAAGUGCCGAGCAUGGGAGACACACGGCGGGUGCUAACGUCCGUCGUGGAGAGGGAAACAACCCUGACUUACAGCUAAGGCCCCUAAUUCGUGGCUAAGUGGGAAAGGAUGUGGAAAUCCCAAAACAACCAGGAGGUUGGCUUAGAAGCAGCCAUCCUUUAAAGAAAGCGUAACAGCUCACUGGUCUAAAUAAGGGUUUCUGCGCCGAAGAUGUAACGGGGCUCAAGCCACGAGCCGAAGCUUAGGGUGUGCGCAAGCACGCGGUAGCG